GCUGUCAGCCGGGGCGUGGGAGAAGGGAGAUUCCAGCUGAUCGGUGGUGGUCCUUUGGAGGCCUCCGGAGUCCCUGGCGAUUCCCGGCCUUCUAUCAGCUUUUGCACCCUGGGGAGAACCAGAGUACCAGUUUCUUCGUUGGUUGGCCCCAAUCGUACCAGUGUCCAUAAGUAACCUUUAGUCUUCAAGAACAACCCCAGUUUUAAAUAUAUAUAUCUUUAUGGAUCUCAGAGAGAGGAAGGAAGAGGGAGAGAGCUGGAAACAUCAACGGUGAGAGAGUCAUUGAUCCACUAACUCCUGCACACCCCCUGCUGGGGAUGGGGCAGCAAGCCCCAAGGUGCUCUGACCUCUGACCAGGAACCUAACCAGCAGCCUCCUGGAUCAUAGGUCCACGCUCAACCCCUGAGCUGGCAGGGCAUCCAAUUUUAAAGAGUCUGACCUGUCCCCUCUAAAGUACAAAUGCUGUUGUCUGACAUUGUGCUCCACUUCUAGGUUUGGAAACUAUGACCCCCAAAGCCAAAGGUGGCUGAUUCGGUUUGGAGGGUGCAGAGGGAGGAAGGAAGUAAUGAUGCCUCUCACAGCACCAGGGCCCAGGGCCCAGGGCAUCAGUGGGACAGAGGCAGCAUGGCUGUCCUCUGAGACGCCAGGAGUGAGCUUGCCAUUCACCAUCUACGUCCCUGUUCCUUCACCCUUAGGCUGGAGAUAAUAAUGUCUGCCCUGCCCUGCCCUGCCCUGCCCUGCCCUGCCCUGCCCUGCCCUGGGAGCCUGCUGGAUGAUCUUGUGAGAGGUGGCUGUAAAAGACAGGCCUUUGGUGGAAGCAGUCAUCCAAACCCCAUCAUCAGUACAGCAUGACCCGUGCUGAAGUCAGAACUAGAAGGGGCUGUGAAACCCAAGCCCUCCAGAGCAGUGUGGAAGGCGAGAUUGCUGAAGACGUCAUGGAAAAGUCGGAGCUUGAACUGGGCCCUAAGUCAGACAGAGAUUUGCAGAUAUGAGGCAAGGCCAUUCCUGGCUGUAAGCACUGAGGGACUGCGGAAGCAACAGCAGGGCGGCGUGAACGUGGCUAUGUGACUGGAUACAGGGUCUGUCCAGCAGCUACAUCCCCACCCCAAUCAGCAAGGACUGAGUAAGGAACCUGGACUUCCUCUGACACCUGGCCCUACAGAGGCCCCAGAGUGCUUCCUGUCCCUUCCUGGAGUGGGAUCCAAGAAGACAACGAGGACCCCAGAUUCUCAUCGCUGCCUAUCAGUAAAAAGCCUCACACCACAGGGCUCUUUUUUUAGAACUGAAAAAUAUCAUGACAAAAAUUAAAAGUGCCUGCCCUGGCCGGUGUGGCUCAGU